rnacentral:lncRNA from 1 species
GCUGAUGCUCUGAGUAGGCUCUGAGUAAUCAUCAUUCAGGAAGAAGAAAAUUACCAGUUUUUGAUGAUCGAUGUGUUGGAUGAUGCACCGGUGAACACAGCACAAAUCAGGGAAUGGACUUCAAAGGAUGUGACAUUAUCACAAGUGCAUGAAUCUUUCCUGAAAGGAUGGCCUACAGUGACCGAGCCUCAGAUCAUGCCUUACUACACUCACUGCUUGGCAUUGAGUGUUCGAGGUGGAUGUGUUCUGUGGGGUUCAAGAGUAGUUAUCCCACCACAAGGGCGGGGUAUGCUACUGAAGUUGUUGCAUCUGUCGCAUCCAGGUAUGUUGAGAAUGAAAGAACUAGCGAGGACAUACGUCUGGUGGCCAAAGAUGGACCACGAUGUGGAAAAUGAGGUUAGUCAGUGUGCAGAUUGUCAGAGUAACAGGAAGUCACCCCCCACCGUGCCAUUACAUCCAUGGGAAUGUAAUUCCCGGAUUCCAGCUACCAUUGAGGAUUGCUCAGGACCAGUAUCUUAUACUGUGAUCAUCGGAAGUGGACAAAGACUAAGGAGACACAUGGAUCAGAUCCGAGCUAGAAUUCCAGUUCCAUCCGGGGAUCUGUAUCAAUGCUUAAACAAGCAGGACAUUGGACAUUGGAAUGUUCCCCAGAGUUGCAGUUGGACAAAUCACCUGAGACCAACAAUGCUCAACUUCCUGAGACCACCAGUCGGGGACAACCUCCUCCUGUGAAGUCUCCACAAAAGGACUUUGUUUCACCAUCAAGGGGUGAGACGCUCUAUUAGAGAGAGACGUCCACCAGACUUUUUCAGAUACUAAAGGAGAUGUUUGAAAAAAUGUAAAUAUGAAAAUAACAUAGCUCAGAAAGGAAUUAAGUUGGGUUAUUAGCUUUAAAAGGGGGGAAUGUGGUAACAUGGUAUAUUUAUGUUUACUAAUAGAUGGCAGUAUUGACUCAAGACAGGGGGUUUGCUUUCCGCUGUCCAUAGCCAUUUCCAAUGUCU